AGUCAAGUAAUUAAGUGCAUGUGGUGGAUGCCUUGGCAGUCAGAGGCGAUGAAAGACGUGAUAGCCUGCGAAAAGCUCCGGGGAGGCGGCAAAUAUCCUUUGAUCCGGAGAUGUCUGAAUGGGGGAACCCACCUACUUUAAGGUAGGUAUUGCAACAUGAAUACAUAGUGUUGCAAGGCGAACGAGGGGAAGUGAAACAUCUCAGUACCCUUAGGAAAAGAAAUCAAUUGAGAUUCCCUCAGUAGCGGCGAGCGAACGGGGAUCAGCCCAUUAAGUUAUGUGUGUUUUAGUGGAACGCUCUGGGAAGUGCGAACGUAGAGGGUGAUAUUCCCGUACACGAAAGGGCACACAUAAUGAUGACGAGUAGGGCGAGGCACGUGAAACCUUGUCUGAAUAUGGGGGGACCAUCCUCCAAGGCUAAAUACUCCUGACUGACCGAUAGUGAACCAGUACCGUGAGGGAAA
rnacentral:rRNA from 1 species